GUGCUUGCUUUACCAGCACAUAUACUAAAAUUAGAAUGAUACUAAGAAGAUUAGCAUGAUCCUCUGUGCAGGGAUGACACCCAAAUUUGUGAAGCGUUACCAUAUUUA
rnacentral:snRNA from 1 species